rnacentral:rRNA from 1 species
GAUGAACGCUGGCGGCGUGCCUAAUACAUGCAAGUCGAGCGAACGGACGAGAAGCGUGCUUCUCUGAUGUUAGCGGCGGACGGGUGAGUAACACGUGGAUAACCUACCUAUAAGACUGGGAUAACGGCGGGAAACCGGAGCUAAGACCGGGUGAUAUUUUGAACCGCAUGGUUCAAAAGUUAAAGACGUUCUUGCUGUCACUUAUAGAUGGAUGCGCGCUGGAUUAGCUAGUUGGUAAGGUAACGGCUUACCAAGGCAACGAUGCAUAGCCGACCUGAGAGGGUGAACGGCCACACUGGAACUGAGACACGGUCCAGACUCCUACGGGAGGCAGCAGUAGGGAAUCUUGGGAAAUGGGCGAAAGCCUGAAGGAGCAACGCCGCGUGAGUGAUGAAGGUCUUCGGAUCGUAAAACUCUGUUAUUAGGGAAGACCAUAUGUGUAAGGAACUGUGCACAUCUUGACGGUACCUAAUCAGAAAGCCACGGCUAACUACGUG